GUAGUCCACGCCGUAAACGAUGGGCACUAGGUGUCAUGGGUAUCGACCCCCGUGGUGCCGUAGCUAACGCAUUAAGUGCCCCGCCUGGGGAGUACGGCCGCAAGGCUAAAACUCAAAGGAAUUGACGGGGCCCGCACAAGCAGCGGAGCGUGUGGUUUAAUUCGACGCAACGCGCAGAACCUUACCAGGUCUUGACAUACAUAGGAAGUUGUUAGAGAUAGCAACGCUUUUCGGAGCCUAUGCACAGAUGCUGCAUGGCUGUCGUCAGCUCGUGCCGUGAGGUGUUGGGUUAAG
rnacentral:rRNA from 1 species